rnacentral:rRNA from 1 species
GGGGGGUUCGAGACCACGGUUUUUCUUGGUGUUCACACGGCGUUGACCUUGAGUUGACGGCAGCGAAGAUCAGGACGUAGAGUUGAGAACCGCGCAGACGACGAGUUCGAGUCGUUCGCAGGGAUCAUUCACCGAGUAUUUGGUGAGUCUUCAUUGCAGGACGAAACGCUGGUCAUCGAGUCAGGACGGCGGAAACGCCGAAUUGACGAAGCGGAAGCUUGUUGGUAAGCUUACAAAGUUGCUUCGGAGCGAUUCAGAGAAAAACUUCUGAUGGUGCCGGUAGCGGUUGUUGUUUGAGAACUCAAUAGUGUGCCAAGUUUGUUGAUACCAAAUUAUUUAUUUGGUUAUAACAGCGACAUUAUCACCCCCGUGAUGGUGUCGCAAAUUUAGCCAAGGAUUCAUUAACUGGUGUCUGUCGUUGGUAAUGGAUGGAUCGUGAGGGCCCUGUUUUUCUGGCAGGGUCUGGUCUGUUUGUUGUUGAUGGUGGAUGCUUUCUCUUAUUAAUUUUUUAAUGGAGAGUUUGAUCCUGGCUCAGGAUGAACGCUGGCGGCGUGCUUAACACAUGCAAGUCGAACGAUGAAGACCGUGCUUGCACGGUUGGAUUAGUGGCGAACGGGUGAGUAUCACGUGAGUAACCUUCCCUUGACUCUGGGAUAAGCCCGGGAAACUGGGUCUAAUACCGGAUACGACCAGUCCUCGCAUGGGGUGCUGGUGGAAAGAUUUAUCGGUCUUGGAUGGACUCGCGGCCUAUCAGCUUGUUGGUGAGGUAAUAGCUCACCAAGGCGAUGACGGGUAGCCGGCCUGAGAGGGUGACCGGCCACACUGGGACUGAGACACGGCCCAGACUCCUACGGGAGGCAGCAGUGGGGAAUAUUGCACAAUGGGCGAAAGCCUGAUGCAGCGACGCCGCGUGCGGGAUGACGGCCUUCGGGUUGUAAACCGCUUUCAGCAGGGAAGAAGCGCAAGUGACGGUACCUGCAGAAGAAGCGCCGGCUAACUACGUGCCAGCAGCCGCGGUAAUACGUAGGGCGCGAGCGUUAUCCGGAAUUAUUGGGCGUAAAGAGCUCGUAGGCGGUUUGUCACGUCUGCUGUGAAAGCCCGGGGCUCAACCCCGGGUGUGCAGUGGGUACGGGCAGACUAGAGUGCAGUAGGGGAGACUGGAAUUCCUGGUGUAGCGGUGAAAUGCGCAGAUAUCAGGAGGAACACCGAUGGCGAAGGCAGGUCUCUGGGCUGUUACUGACGCUGAGGAGCGAAAGCAUGGGGAGCGAACAGGAUUAGAUACCCUGGUAGUCCAUGCCGUAAACGUUGGGCACUAGGUGUGGGGGACAUUCCACGUUUUCCGCGCCGUAGCUAACGCAUUAAGUGCCCCGCCUGGGGAGUACGGCCGCAAGGCUAAAACUCAAAGGAAUUGACGGGGGCCCGCACAAGCGGCGGAGCAUGCGGAUUAAUUCGAUGCAACGCGAAGAACCUUACCAAGGCUUGACAUGGACCGGACCGCUGCAGAGAUGCAGCUUCCCUUCGGGGUCGGUUCACAGGUGGUGCAUGGUUGUCGUCAGCUCGUGUCGUGAGAUGUUGGGUUAAGUCCCGCAACGAGCGCAACCCCUAUCCUAUGUUGCCAGCACGUAAUGGUGGGGACUCAUGGGAGACUGCCGGGGUCAACUCGGAGGAAGGUGGGGACGACGUCAAAUCAUCAUGCCCCUUAUGUCUUGGGCUUCACGCAUGCUACAAUGGCCGGUACAAUGGGUUGCGAUACUGUGAGGUGGAGCUAAUCCCUAAAAGCCGGUCUCAGUUCGGAUCGAAGUCUGCAACUCGACUUCGUGAAGUUGGAGUCGCUAGUAAUCGCAGAUCAGCAACGCUGCGGUGAAUACGUUCCCGGGCCUUGUACACACCGCCCGUCAAGUCACGAAAGUGGGUAACACCCGAAGCCGGUGGCCUAACCCUUGUGGGGGGAGCCGUCGAAGGUGGGACUCGCGAUUGGGACUAAGUCGUAACAAGGUAGCCGUACCGGAAGGUGCGGCUGGAUCACCUCCUUUCU